UUUAAUGAGAAUAAAAUAGUUUAACCAUGUUUACGCACCUAUUUUAGUUAUUACAUUCUCUAAGCUAUUUUUGUCGUCACAACCAUGGAAGCACUCCACUGUCUCCAUUUCAGAAAGUAGACAGUAACUGAACAAAACUGUCCACUUUUAAAAAACAUGAUUUAUUUCAUUAUGAAAGUUCAUAGUUGAUGUAAUUAAUACCUUUUUGUGGUCUUAAUUCAAUGGGUGUGGGCAUCUGCACACUGUCGUGGGUCCACCGUUGUGGUGAAAUUGCACACGGUGGUCUCACUGCCCUAAACAGCCAGGGCUCUCUGCCCAUCCAUCCUUUCCUCUCCCCAACCCUUGUCAACCAUUGAUUGUUUUACUAUCUAUGUAAUUUUCCCUUUUCCAAAAUGUCAUGUAAUUGGAAUUAUACAGUAUGUAGCCUUUUUGGCUUCUUUCACUUAGUGGUAUGCAUUUUGGGUCCCUGUGUGCCUUUUCAUGAUUAGAUAGCUCAUUUAUUGUCUCACUGAAUGAUAUUCCAUUGUCUGUAGUUGCCAGAAUUUAUUUAUCCAUUCACCUACUGAAGUAUAUGUUGGUUGCCUCCAGUUUCUGGCAAUCCUGAAUAAAGCUCUGAACAUUUGUGUGCAAGUUUCUGUGUCAACAUAACUCUUGAAGGAAUGACAAGGAAAGGUGUAUUUGCCUGAUCCCAGGAAUCAAUAUAAACAUCCAUGAUAACCCCACCUUUUUUUUUUUAAAUGUAUGAUUUGGAUGAAACAAGAGAACGAGACUGACUGUUGCUGAGUCCCUGCUGCAGUCCUGACACAGCUGGAGACACCCUGCUCUCCUGCUCUCCUUAUUUUGUUGAUGCUUUUGAGGACCAUGUUGUCUGACGAAGACGGUUCCCAUCCAACUCUGCCCCUGGUGUGUCACGUGCUGGCCUUGUCAACACACAUGAGAACCUGACAGGGACCCACCCGAGGAGAGGCCAUGGCUUGGAGCACCUGGUAGUGUGUCCACAGUGAAGACCAGAGUUUCGUUGUCCUCAAGACUGACCUGGGGGGACCUGGCUGCGGGCCAGUGAGGAAGGUGAGGCAAAAGCUUCCUGUCUGCUCUCCGGGUGCUAAAGGGAGCUCUGCCAUGGGCUUUACUUCACACGUUAUAUCCUGCAAGUCUUGUUUUACAAAAGCAUCCCUUCCUCGAGGCUUUGGUUGCUCAUCAUCACAGCGUGUCAUAACACAUGAAAGGUGAGACAACUUGAAGAGAAGGCCAGACAGGGAGCUUCCAGGUCAUAGACGGGUGACUCUCAGAGGGAGUCCUGUGUUGGAGACAAGCAUUCUGACCUGUAGCUGAUUGCAGGAGCUUUCAGGAAAGCAUCAGUGGGAAAUAAUAUCUAAAUGACGAAAGCGAAGAAGGAAGCUCCUGCCCCUCCUAAGGCCAAAGCCAAAGCAAAGGCUUUAAAGGCCAAGAAGGCAGUGUUGAAAUGUGUCCACAGCCCCCCAAAAAGAGAAGAUCUGCACGUCACCCACCUUCCAGCAUCCCAAGACACUGCGACUGCGGAGGCAGCCCAGAUAUCCUGGGAAGAGCGCCUCCCGGAGAAACAAGCUUGACCACCAUGUUAUCAUCAAGUUUCCACUGACCACCGAGUCAGCCAUGAAGAAGAUAGAAGACAACAACACACUUGUGUUCACUGUCGAUGUUAAAGCCAACAAGCACCAGAUCAAACAGACUGUGAAGAAGCUCUGGGACGUGGAUGUGGCCAUGGUCAACAUCCUGAUUCAGCCUGAUGGAGAGAAGAAGGCAUAUGUUCGACUGGCUCCUGAUUACGAUGCUUUGGAUGUUGCCAACAAACUUGGGAUCAUCUAAACUGAGUCCUGCUGGCUGAUUCUAAAUAGAUGUAUAUCUUUUCACCAUAAAAAAAGGAAAUAAUGUUUUUCAUAAAAAU